rnacentral:rRNA from 1 species
GAUGAACGCUGGCGGCGUGCCUAAUACAUGCAAGUCGAGCGAACAGACGAGGAGCUUGCUCCUCUGACGUUAGCGGCGGACGGGUGAGUAACACGUGGAUAACCUACCUAUAAGACUGGGAUAACUUCGGGAAACCGGAGCUAAUACCGGAUAAUAUAUUGAACCGCAUGGUUCAAUAGUGAAAGACGGUUUUGCUGUCACUUAUAGAUGGAUCCGCGCCGCAUUAGCUAGUUGGUAAGGUAACGGCUUACCAAGGCGACGAUGCGUAGCCGACCUGAGAGGGUGAUCGGCCACACGGGAACGGAGACACGGUCCAGACUCCUACGGGAGGCAGCAGUAGGGAAUCUGCCGCAAUGGGCGAAAGCCUGACGGAGCAACGCCGCGUGAGUGAUGAAGGCCUUCGGAUCGUAAAACUCUGUUAUUAGGGAAGAACAAAGGUGUAAGUAACUAUGCACGUCUUGACGGUACCUAAUCAGAAAGCCACGGCUAACUACGUG